rnacentral:lncRNA from 1 species
UCAGAGUAACAUUAAGGAAUAAAAUUAAAAAAUUUAAUUAUCUUCUCUAAUCAGAAGAUCCAAAUUUUAAUUUCUGUAAUUAGUCAAGAAUAAUUAAAAAGGUAUAGUGUACUGUUCUGUUCUGUUGUGGGUUACUUUAAAAGAUUUGGAAGCAUGUCGGCGAAGUUCGAAGGAUCCUUUACGUAGUAGAUAGGCCACAGGUGGUUUCAAUCCUUCCUUCCUCAAAAGAUCCAUUUUCGAAUUUUAANNN